rnacentral:rRNA from 1 species
AAUGAACGCUGGCGGCAGGCCUAACACAUGCAAGUCGAGCGCCCAGCAAUGGGAGCGGCAGACGGGUGAGUAACGCGUGGGGAUGUGCCCAGUGGUGCGGAAUAACCCAGGGAAACUUGGAUUAAUACCGCAUGUGCCCUUCGGGGGAAAGAUUUAUCGCCAUUGGAUCAACCCGCGUCUGAUUAGCUAGUUGGUGAGGUAAAGGCUCACCAAGGCGACGAUCAGUAGCUGGUCUGAGAGGAUAAUCAGCCACACUGGGACUGAGACACGGCCCAGACGCCUACGGGGGGCAGCAGUGGGGAAGAUUGGACAGUGGGCGCAAGCCUGAUCCAGCCAUGCCGCGUGGGUGAUGAAGGUCUUAGGGUUGUAAAGCUCUUUCGCCGGUGAAGAUAAUGACGGUAACCGGAGAAGAAGCCCCGGCUAACUUCGUGCCAGCCGCCGCCGUAACAC